rnacentral:lncRNA from 1 species
CCUCCCUUUGUAUGGGAGCUCUGUUUUCACUCUAUUAAAUCUUGCAACUGCACUCUUUUCUGGUCUGUAUUUGUUACGGCUCUAGCUGAGCUUUUGCUCGCUGUCCGCCACUGCUGUUUGCCACCAUCGCAGACUCGCUGCUGACUUCCAUCCCUCCGGAUCUGGCAGGGUGUCCACUGUGCUCCUGAUCCAGUGAGGCACCCAUUGCCACUCCCGAUUGGGCUACAGGCUUGCCAUUGUUCCUGCAUGGCUAAGUGCCUGGGUUCGUCCUAAUUGAGCUGAACACUAGUCACUGGGUUCCACGGUUCUCUUCUGUAACCCACGGCUUCUAAUAGAGCUAUAAUACUUACUGUAUGGCCCAAGAUUCCAUUCCUUGGAAUCUGUGAGGCCAAGAACCCUAGGGCAGAGAAAACAAGGCUUGCCACCAUCUUGGAAGCAGCCCGUGGCCAUCUUUGGAGCUCUUUGAGCAAGGACACCCUGGUAACAUUUUGGUGACCACAAAGGGACCUCCAAAGUGGUCUUGGCAGAAGCCACUGGAUUACUCAGUGAUUUUUUUUCCCAAAAUGAAAGGAAGAGGAGGAAGCCAGCUGCAGCUUUGACACUUGUAAUUGUACCCCAGUGAGAAAUAAUGAGACAAAGAGAGAGUGUUCCAUCAGUCUCAGCCACUGGUUUGCCAGUGCCCAGAAACACAAGAUUAGCAGCUCUUGUAAUUUCAUCCUCCAGGUAGGUGUUCUUGUCAGUUCAGUUUCCAUUUUAGUAGAUGUGUCUUGGCUUUGAAUCUUUUCAGACAUCAGUAAAAUCUCCCCACAG